UCCAGGUUGGUCUCCACCACCGGGACCUCCAGGUUGGACACAACCGCCGCCUCCAGGCCCUCCAGGUUGGCCGCCUCCAGGCCCUCCAGGCUGGCCGCGUCCUGGCCCUCCAGGCUGGCCGCCUCCAGGCCCUCCAGGCUGGCCGCCUCCAGGCCCUCCAGGCUGGCCGCCUCCAGGCCCUCCAGGCUGGCCGCCUCCAGGCUGGCCGCCUCCAGGCUGGCCGCCUCCAGGCCCUCCAGGUUGGCCGCCUCCAGGCCCUCCAGGUUGGCCGCCUCCAGGCCCUCCAGGUUGGCCGCCUCCAGGCCCGCCGUCGCCUCCAUGAUGGCUUCCGCCGGCGCCUCGAGGCUCUCCAGGAUGGCCGCCUCUAGGACCUCCAGGUUGGCCGCCUCCAGGCACACCGACUCCAGGCCCGCCGUUGCCUCCAGGCCCUCCAGGUUGGCCACCACCUCCAGGCCCUCCAGGUUGGCCACCGCCGCCAUGUGGACGCCACCUCCAGGCCCUCCAGGAUGGUCUCCACAAUCCGCCUCCAGGACCUCCAGGUAGUCCGCCUCCAGGAUGGCCGCCUCCAGGCCCAUCGACUCCAGGACCUCCAGGUUGGCCUCCGCCUCCAGGACCUCCGCCUCAGUCCU
ensembl:lncRNA